rnacentral:tRNA from 1 species
GCUCGUGACACCCCGCGGCGGGGCGGGCGCCUCAGGUGCGCCCGCCCCGCCGCGGCCGUCCGCUCAGCUCCCGGCCACGGGCUCC